AUGCCGCCACCACACCUUGCUGCCGUCGGCCAGCAGCACCGGCGGUGCGCCAGAUCUGGCCGCCUGCCAGACCCAGCAACCCUCCUCCGCAGGGCAACCACAAGAGGCGCACAACUCCCGGCCAGCAAACCUGCAGGUAAGCAGAGGUGGGAGGGCCGCCACCCCAACCCAUCCAUGGCCGGAUCUGAGAAGCGAAGCAGAGUCGCCACCUCAGACCGCAGGGAGCCGGAGGCGCCAUCCCGCGAGCAGCAACCGGAACCAGGGGACCACCGGAGGAGCCACCCUCCAGAUCCGCGGUCCUGGCCACCGGAGCGCCGCAACGCCGGGCCGCCGAGCAGGACGAGGGAGCGGCCUCCCUCCACCAGAGAUGCGCGCCUUCGCGCGGGGAACGCCCCGCCGCCGCCGUCCACGACGCGGGCUUAG
rnacentral:rRNA from 1 species